AACAGACAAUCAAUUUCUAAAAUGUUGUUAUCCCUGGAAGGGAAUGAGAUAGAGUUUUUAACUAUAAGAACCUACUAGUCUGUUUUUUGCCUUUGAAAAAACUAACCUUUGAGGUCUGUGACUUUCAUCUGAAGCAAUUGUUCCAUUAAUCAAAAAUGCCUCACAAGUCAAUGAGCCAGGCCAGCACCCUCCUACGUCUGAGGGUGCUGGGCUGGGUUUGUGCAUCUUAUUUCCUUAGAGAAUAUCUGUUUUUAUUAUGACCUUAAUUAUAAAUACCUAUAUAUAGUAAUAGGAUUUUCUCUCACCCCACCCUCUUUUAAUCAUUAUCACGUGAGUGUAAACCACACCUCCCCCCCACCCCACUUUACUGAAAAAAUGCACUUUAAUUCCUAAGGAGAGUGGCUGUUCUGGCCCUGAAGCCAGAUUACUUCAGGAGGAGAAUUGAGGAGGGAGAACUCUUGGCAGACCCUGUGAAAUUUAACCAAAUCCCUUAAUGUAAAUACACAAAUCAACCAUUUUUAAGCUGCCCUUACCCCCUGCCAAGGGGAAAAAGAAAUAACCAAAUUAAAAAGUUAAAAAUGCCCACCCUGAUUUUAGAAGUUUCACUGGAGAAAAUACCCAAUCUUAUUUUUUCAGCUACCAGCUUAUAAAAAACUUCUUGGUGGUUUUGUGAGAGUCUGAGAUUUUUUUAAAAUUAAAAAGUGAAGUGAAUACCCACAGGCUAUAGAAUAUGAUCCUGAUUUGUUUCAUUUCUAAGUAUCAGAUUGGUUCUCUCCUUCAAUCUGACAGGUGUUCUCAGUCUCUCCUCCUGUAGAUUCUGUCCUUCCCCUGAUGACAAGCCAAUAGUUCUUGGUGGGGUUGCAUGUCUCCUAGAGCCCAAGGAGCCCUGUUGUGUCCGGGAAGGGGGGAGGGCAGGAGGGUGGGCAGACUAGGGUUGGGGGAGGGAGAUUUAGAGAAAGAGUGAAGAUAAGGGUUUAUAUAAACAAACAUAUUUAAAGCAGUUUAGCAAAAAGCUUUCUCGUUGAACAGCUUUAAGAACAAUGUGAAUGAAAUCUUAGCAACUUGGUUAGUAAUCUGAAAAGUCUAUUAAUGUAUACUUGAAAUUUGUUUGUACAAAAAUACCUUUUCCUCUUUAUUUUAACACUGUGUAAAAGAACAUUAUGCAUGUGAGUGGUUUGAGAAUUAAAUGGUUUAAUAUUAARAAAAAAMAAAAAAAAA
rnacentral:sRNA from 1 species